ensembl:lncRNA
CUUUCCUUGACGCGGGGGACACCGAGGAGUGUAUAAACAGGUAGGCUGGGAAUAGGCAACAUUUCCUUGAAACUAAAGCUCCUCUGGGGCACCGGCUCUAACUCGGAGCAGAGUGCUCCAGCCAGCCAUUAAGGAUCGAUGUUUUAAUGUUCAACAACUGGCAACUCUUCGCGUGCUGCAGCGUCCACCCGGCACCAUCGGCUCCCCAGCCUCGCUUUUCCGCGGGCAGCGGGGGCGAGCGGCCCACGCAGGGGGAACCGGUUUUCUCCCAGUCCCGGUGUCCCGACUCCCGAAGUCAGGUCGGCCAGGCCGACCGCGGAGGAGAAACCAGGACCCGGCGACCCCCGUACAUCCCCGGCCAACCGCGCCGCCCGCGACUUAAGCAACUCAGCGACCCAGGCCGUGCGGGCCGCCAGAUAAAAUGGAGCCCAGUAGUCCUUGCUGUUCCCUCAUUCUUCAACCUCGAUGAGCCAGGCUAAGACCGAAAGCAAACUAAGAACUGAGGCUGUUUAUAACGCUAUAACUGUCAUCAGUGGGCAAACUGGCACAGACAGGCCUCUGCAAGUGGAAAAACAUUUAACCCUGGGCUCGCUCGCUACUCGCCGGAUUGUCA